UCACCCACAGCUACCAUGACUUUGAUCCCCGUCUUCAUCUGGACACUGAUUCUCUGGACUCAAGAAUGCAGAGGUCAAGCAACAGUAACUCAGACUCCUGCAGUGAAAUCUGUUCUUCCAGGAGAAACAGUCACCAUCAACUGUAAAACCAGUCAGGCAGUGUACAAGGAUUCAAAUGGUGAACGCUUGCACUGGUAUCAGCAGAAAGCUGGAGAAGCUCCUAAACUCCUGAUUAAAUUUGUAAAUCAGCUACAGUCGGGUUUUCCAGCUCGUUUUAGUGGCAGUGGAUCUGGAUCUGAUUUCACUCUGACCAUCAGUGGAGUCCAGACUGAAGAUGCAGGAGAUUAUUACUGUCAGAGUUUCCAUUAUAUCAGUAGCACCUACCUGUUUACACAGUGAUAUAGAGUCGUACAA